UGCAGUCGAACGAUGAUCCCCAGCUUGCUGGGGGGAUUAGUGGCGAACGGGUGAGUAACACGUGAGUAACCUGCCCUUGACUCUGGGAUAAGCGUUGGAAACGACGUCUAAUACCGGAUAUGACUCCUGGCCGCAUGGUCUGGGGGUGGAAAGAUUUUUUGGUCAAGGAUGGACUCGCGGCCUAUCAGGUAGUUGGUGAGGUAAUGGCUCACCAAGCCGACGACGGGUAGCCGGCCUGAGAGGGUGACCGGCCACACUGGGACUGAGACACGGCCCAGACUCCUACGGGAGGCAGCAGUGGGGAAUAUUGCACAAUGGGCGAAAGCCUGAUGCAGCAACGCCGCGUGAGGGACGACGGCCUUCGGGUUGUAAACCUCUUUUAGUAGGGAAGAAGGGAGCUUGCUCUUGACGGUACCUGCAGAAAAAGCACCGGCUAACUACGUGCCAGCAGCCGCGGUAAUACGUAGGGUGCAAGCGUUGUCCGGAAUUAUUGGGCGUAAAGAGCUCGUAGGCGGUUUGUCGCGUCUGCUGUGAAAUCUGGGGGCUCAACCCCCAGCCUGCAGUGGGUACGGGCAGACUAGAGUGCGGUAGGGGAGAUUGGAAUUCCUGGUGUAGCGGUGGAAUGCGCAGAUAUCAGGAGGAACACCGAUGGCGAAGGCAGAUCUCUGGGCCGUAACUGACGCUGAGGAGCGAAAGCAUGGGGAGCGAACAGGAUUAGAUACCCUGGUAGUCCAUGCCGUAAACGUUGGGAACUAGAUGUAGGGGCCAUUCCACGGUUUCUGUGUCGCAGCUAACGCAUUAAGUUCCCCGCCUGGGGAGUACGGCCGCAAGGCUAAAACUCAAAGGAAUUGACG
rnacentral:rRNA from 1 species